rnacentral:lncRNA from 1 species
UCAGCUCACUGCAACCUCCGCCUCCUGGGUUCACGCCGUUCUCCUGCCUCAGCCUCCUGAGUAGCUGGGAUUACAGGCGCCCACCACCAUGCCCGGCUAAUUUUUUGUAUUUUUAGUAGACAUGGAGUUUCACCGUGUCAGCCAGGAUGGUCUCAAUCUCCUGACCUCGUGAUCCGCCCGCCUUGGCCUCCCAAAGUGCUGGGAUUACAGGCGUGAGCCACCACGCCCGGCCUCGCUCAUUCACUCUUUCAAUUCAGUCAUCCUGGAGUCGUCCUUGACUCCUGCUUGCUCACGGCCCCCGCAGCCCAUCCAUCAGGAUCUCCUGUCCCUACCACCCUAAUGGAAUGUCAGCCCCUGGAGGGGGUUCUGCAAUGCCAUGCCUGCUUCACCACAGCCGCCAGAAUAUCAGCUCCAUGAGGGCAGGAAAUGUUUGGUUGAGCACCUGGCACAGCACUGAAGCUCAUUCACAUUUGUGGAAG